ACACCAGACUCCUACGGGAGGCAGCAGUGGGGGAUAUUGCACAAUGGGGGGAACCCUGAUGCAGCGACGCCGCGUGGGUGAAGAAGCGCCUCGGUGCGUAAAGCCCUAUCGGCAGGGAAGAAACAGACGGUACCUGACUAAGAAGCCCCGGCUAACUACGUGCCAGCAGCCGCGGUAAUACGUAGGGGGCAAGCGUUAUCCGGAUUCACUGGGUGUAAAGGGAGCGUAGACGGCGACGCAAGUCUGGAGUGAAAGCCCGGGGCCCAACCCCGGGACUGCUCUGGAAACUGCGGCGCUGGAGUACGGGAGGGGCAGGCGGAAUUCCUGGUGUAGCGGUGAAAUGCGUAGAUAUCAGGAGGAACACCGGUGGCGAAGGCGGCCUGCUGGACUGCGACUGACGUUGAGGCCCGAAAGCGUGGGGAGCAAACAGGAUUAGAUACCCCCGUACAC
rnacentral:rRNA from 1 species